GGGCCUGUAGCUCAAUUGGUAGAGUGCUCGUUUCGCAUCGUGCAACAGCAACGCCACAGCGUUUGAAUCUACGAGAGGUACCGGGAUCGAAGCCCGGCAGGUCCA